GGGAACACCUGGUCCUUGCUGGGGCAGAGGUGGCUGGGUGGUAGGAGGUUGGUUAGGGUUAGGGUUAGGGUUAAUGCUUGGGAGGGAUAGGUUUGGGAACACCUGGUCCUUGCUGGGGCAGAGGUGGCUGGGUGGCAGGAGGU